rnacentral:tRNA from 5 species
UCUGAUUUAUUUGAAGCUUUUAAAUUGAUUUUUUCUACAAAUAGAAAAAUAGAU